rnacentral:rRNA from 1 species
UACGUACCGUACGAACGUUAUUCGGAAUUACUGGGCUUAAAGGGUUUGUAGGCGGCCUUGUAAGUCAGGUGUGAAAUCCCUCGGCUCAACCGAGGAACGGCGCUUGAUACUGCAAGGCUUGAGGGAGACAGGGGUAAGCGGAACUGAUGGUGGAGCGGUGAAAUGCGUUGAUAUCAUCAGGAACACCGGUGGCGAAGGCGGCUUGCUGGGCCAGUUCUGACGCUGAGGAGCGAAAGCGUGGGGAGCGAACAGG